rnacentral:rRNA from 1 species
AUUGAACGCUGGCGGCAGGCCUAACACAUGCAAGUCGAGCGGAGCGGCGGACGGGUGAGUAAUGCCUAGGAAUCUGCCUGGUAGUGGGGGAUAAAGUCCGGAACCGGGCGCUAAUACUGCAUCCUAUCGACUGAUCCUAGGCCGGAUUAGCUGGUUGGGGGGGUAAAGGCCUACAAAGGCGACGAUCCGUAACGUGUAUGGGAGGAUGAUCAGUCAAACUGGAACGGAGACACGGUCCAGACUCCUACGGGAGGCAGCAGUGGGGAAUAUUGGACAAUGGGGGAAAGCCGGAUCCAGCCAUGCCGCGUGUGUGAAGAAGGUCUUCGGAUUGUAAAGCACUUUAAGUUGGGAGGCGUUACCAACAGAAUAAGCACCGGCUAACUUCGUGCCAGCAGCCGCGGUAAUAC